CUCACCACCUCUCCGGCGCGGGGGCCGGCGCGUAGAGCCGCUCGCCUCGGGGCCGGUGCGCGGACGGAAGUGGGCCGCCUCUCUCCCGGAGCGCAUCGCAUGUUCAUUGGGAACCCGGUGCUAAA